UUUCCUUGUGCCUGCUUAAAUUAUCUAACUUAUUUACAUGAAUCCUUAGGCUCCUCGUUUAAUUUUUUUUUUGAGACCUACUCACAUGUGUUGCAUGUCUGUGAAUUAUACCCGGAGUGUGACAGACAAUGACUACUUGGAAGAUGCCUAGCAGCAGUUACCCUGGCAACAAUAACCAGGGGACGCUUCUCAGAACUCCUGCCUCCCCUCUUCCCCAUCAUUUUCCCUGUUUGGAGAGUGAGAUAACAUCAUUAUCAGAAUUAGCCAAAGCUGGUUUUUAUCCCAGGCAUAAUGAAAGAGAGAAGGCUUACAAAUGACUGUCUUUUACUCACUAUCAGGGGCAUUUGGUACAGCUCUGCAGUCAAGUCUGAAUGGAGGGGGUGCUGUGUCUAAAGGAAAGAACUGCUUGUUCUCCUACGAACAAAUACUGUACAGAGGGAGACUUAAUUGUCUCCACUGCUACUACAAGCAUUUAUGGGGGAUGAAUGAAAUUGUCAGAUCAUCAUGUGUAGGCUAAAAAAAAUAAAUGGAAAACCUGGGGUUGUAAUCUCAGAGCUGAAACGGAAAAGUUUUUAAAAUCACUUAUGCCUCCACUGAGAUGUGUGUGUUUUCUGAAUCCCAAGAAAGUGAUCAGCUAAAAUCAGCUAAUGAAGGGUUGGCCAUACAGAGAAUAAAACUAAACCCAACUAAGGAAACAGAACUUUGGAUGAACUAAAACACAUUAAGGAAGAGCAGCAUGGUCUACUACUGCUGCUGGGGAAAUCCCUUGACCACUAUUUGGAAUCGAUCUGGCUGGAAACCGAUGUCAAAAUUUACAUAGAGACUUCGUAACACUUUGUAAAGUGAAAUAAAAAAUAAGAAGACAGGAUCCUGUAGAAUAUGCAUGCAAUUCUGGGCAAUAAUUUUUCCUUCGCUGUUGUAAAGAGAUAUUAAGAUAUUGAGUGUGAUUUUUUAAUUAAUGAGAUAAUAGCAUGAAGAUAAACUUGGUAUUGUUAGUUCAUACUGUGACAAUCAAGAAAAACAGUUGUGCUGACCACUCACGACUUUGCUUUAGGGCUCUGUUGCCAUCUCGGUAAGACAGAGACUGACAAAGACAGGCUGAAGCACAUUCA
rnacentral:sRNA from 1 species